UUUGACAAAGGACAAAAUUGAACUUAAACGUCAUAAUUUCCACGAAUUAUCUUCUGCCACCACCGUGUAGCCUUAACGACGGCGAAAAUCGCCGCCGCACCUUCUCUAACCUAACCACCAUCCCCAUCCUGGUGGUUAAACUCCAAUGAGGCUCAUCAGUCUUCUUCUCCGACAACUGAAGCUCAACAUUGUUUGCGGGGAAGCACAAUGCCCCAAUUAAUAUAUCAGCUUAUCUUCAACUUCUAGAUAUUUUUAUGUUACGGACGGGAGAAUUGUCAACUUCGGCUUGUGGGACGUUGCUACUGCAGCUCUAGCAUCUAGCCCAGAAGUAGGCUCAUCCAUGAAUAUGAUAGAAGGAUUACCCACCAGCUCAACUGCAAUAGUCAAUCUUUUACGCUGUUCAGUUGAGAGACCGUUAAUACCAGGGAGACCAACAUAUGCAUCCCUUAGCGGGUUCAGCUCCACUAGCUCCAUGACUUCC